GGUAACGUGCUCUCUCCAAUACAAUCCAACAUUGCGGAGUUUUGAGCAUCCUUUCAAGCACACCCUACUCAUUAACCUGUGUUGAAACCGGGAUUCAUCCGUGAAGAGCACACUUCUCCAGUGUGCCAGUGUCCAUCGGAGGUGAGCAUUUACCCACUGAAGUCGGUCGCGACGCCGAACUGCAGUCAGGUCAAGAACCUGGUGAAGACGACGAGCAUGCAGAGCAUUGUACCUAAGGAGGACUUGGAAGACCAGCAUGACUAGGUGGCAGAAGAGGAGGGACAGGCAGGGUGAGAACAGACAGGCAAGACCUUCACUGGGAAGCGGUCAGUGAUUGAGGAAGGGGAGCCAAGAGAGUUGUUCUCUGCGCAGCUGACAGAGACAGGAGAAACAGGAGUCCAUUCU
rnacentral:lncRNA from 1 species